rnacentral:rRNA from 1 species
CACGUAGGCACCAAGCGUUGUCCGGAUUUAUUGGGCGUAAAGAGCUCGUAGGCGGUUGAGUAAGUCGGGUGUAAAAACUCUGGGCUUAACCCAGAGCCGCCACCCGAUACUGCUCUGACUUGAGUUCGGUAGGGGAGCAGGGAAUUCCUAGUGUAGCGGUGAAAUGCGCAGAUAUUAGGAGGAACACCGGUGGCGAAGGCGCUGCUCUGGGCCGAUACUGACGCUGAGGAGCGAAAGCGUGGGUAGCAAACAGG